GCUCUGUGGUUUCUCCCCAGGCUUCGCUGGCACCCCCGGCUACCUCUCGCCCGAAGUGCUGCGCAAAGAGGCCUACGGCAAACCCGUGGACAUCUGGGCGUGCGGCGUGAUCCUUUACAUCCUGCUCGUGGGCUACCCUCCCUUCUGGGACGAGGACCAGCACAAACUGUACCAACAGAUCAAGGCGGGUGCCUAUGACUUCCCUUCCCCGGAGUGGGACACAGUCACCCCCGAAGCCAAAAACCUCAUCAACCAGAUGUUAACCAUCAACCCGGCCAAAAGAAUCACAGCCCACGAAGCCCUGAAACACCCGUGGGUCUGC